rnacentral:lncRNA from 1 species
AAGUCUGUGAGGCGCAGAGGUGGGGCAGGCCGUCUGGCUAGCUAGGCGGCUGGGAGCGUUUUCGUGGCGGGGAACGGAGGUUGAAUUGCCCUGCCUGGGCUCAUAGGGAAGGAGGAUGUGAAGGAGCUUGUGAAGGCAGAGGAAGGUAACUUUCGUCUGGGGAGCCGCAGAGUAGGGAGGGAAGCUGCAGGCCGUCUCUCCCUAAGUAAAAGCGCGACUUUUAGAAAUGAUGGUUCAGGGUUCGAGUUUGUGACCCGCUUGAGAAAGUGACCAACCUCUGAGCCUGAAUCCCAUACCUGAAAAACAAGGACAGUAAUCACCCUUGCCAGUUUCACAUAGCUUGGCUGGAGUGCAGUGGCACAACCUUGGCUCGCUCCAGUGUCUACCUGCCAGGUUCAAGUGAUUCUCCUGCCUCAGCCUCCCGAGUAGCUGGGAUUACAGAUUAUUGAAUAAUAAAAUACAGUUUUGAAAAAAAUGGAUGAAGAA